rnacentral:rRNA from 1 species
ACUCCUGAAUCUGCAGACUCCUACGGGAAGCAGCAGUAGGGAUCUUCCGCAAUGGACGAAAGUCUGACGGAGCAACGCCGCGUGAGUGAUGAAGUUUUCGGAUCGUAAAGUUCUGUUGUUAGGGAAGAACAAGUGCGAGAGUAACUGCUCGCACCUUGACGGUACCUAACCAGAAAGCCACGGCUAACUACGUGCCAGCAGCCGCGGUAAUACGUAGGUGGCAAGCGUUGUCCGGAAUUAUUGGGCGUAAAGGGCUCGCAGGCGGUUUCUUAAGUCUGAUGUGAAAGCCCCCGGCUCAACCGGGGAGGGUCAUUGGAAACUGGGAAACUUGAGUGCAGAAGAGGAGAGUGGAAUUCCACGUGUAGCGGUGAAAUGCGUAGAGAUGUGGAGGAACACCAGUGGCGAAGGCGAUUCUCUGGUCUGUAACUGACGCUGAGGAGCGAAAGCGUGGGGAGCGAACAGGAUUAGAUACCCUGGUAGUCCACGCCGUAAACGAUGAGUGCUAAGUGUUAGGGGGUUUCCGCCCCUUAGUGCUGCAGCUAACGCAUUAAGCACUCCGCCUGGGGAGUACGGUCGCAAGACUGAAACUCAAAGGAAUUGACGGGGGCCCGCACAAGCGGUGGAGCAUGUGGUUUAAUUCGAAGCAACGCGAAGAACCUUACCAGGUCUUGACAUCCUCUGACAACCCUAGAGAUAGGGCUUUCCCUUCGGGGACAGAGUGACAGGUGGUGCAUGGUUGUCGUCAGCUCGUGUCGUGAGAUGUUGGGUUAAGUCCCGCAACGAGCGCAACCCUUGAUCUUAGUUGCCAGCAUUCAGUUGGGCACUCUAAGGUGACUGCCGGUGACAAACCGGAGGAAGGUGGGGAUGACGUCAAAUCAUCAUGCCCCUUAUGACCUGGGCUACACACGUGCUACAAUGGACAGAACAAAGGGCUGCAAGACCGCAAGGUUUAGCCAAUCCCAUAAAUCUGUUCUCAGUUCGGAUCGCAGUCUGCAACUCGACUGCGUGAAGCUGGAAUCGCUAGUAAUCGCGGAUCAGCAUGCCGCGGUGAAUACGUUCCCGGGCCUUGUACACACCGCCCGUCACACCACGAGAGUUUGCAACACCCGAAGUCGGUGAGGUAACCUUUAUGGAGCC